rnacentral:rRNA from 1 species
ACGUAGGGUGCAAGCGUUAAUCGGAAUUACUGGGCGUAAAGCGUGCGCAGGCGGUUGUGCAAGACAGGUGUGAAAUCCCCGGGCUUAACCUGGGAACUGCACUUGUGACUGCACGGCUUGAGUGCGGCAGAGGGGGAUGGAAUUCCGCGUGUAGCAGUGAAAUGCGUAGAUAUGCGGAGGAACACCGAUGGCGAAGGCAAUCCCCUGGGCCUGCACUGACGCUCAUGCACGAAAGCGUGGGGAGCAAACAGGAUUAGAUACCCUGGUAGUCCACGCCCUAAACGAUGUCAACUGGUUGUUGGGUCUCUUCUGACUCAGUAACGAAGCUAACGCGUGAAGUUGACCGCCUGGGGAGUACGGCCGCAAGGUUG